AGCCUUUUUUAAUAUUGGAAUAAGACUUGAACACCAACGUUCGUUUUCGAAUCAGCAUUUCGUCAACAUCAUACAUCUCGGAAAACAUGGCUUGAAAGAUUGUAGAACUCCUAGAGAUUUUGUGGAGAAACAUGGUAUCUUUGAGAAGUGACGAGGCAUCCGGUCGUUGGAGUGUUGCGUAAAGCACGAGAAGGGAAAUAGGCUCGCUUGAUUCUAAGAAAUAGGUAGAACCAUAAAUACUAUCCAAAAUAGUGAAGGGUGCUUGAAAGCAGCUGGGCCAUUAUGGAUUUGAACCAAAGACAUUGUCAUUAGUUUUUCUUUUUGUAAAACACUUAUUAGCAAGGUUAUUUGAGAAAUAAACAUUUAAGGGAGUUAU